rnacentral:rRNA from 1 species
AUUGAACGCUGGCGGCAGGCCUAACACAUGCAAGUCGAGCGAGCGGCGGACGGGUGAGUAAUGUCUGGGGAACUGCCUGAUGGAGGGGGAUAACUACUGGAAACGGUAGCUAAUACCGCAUACCAUCGGAGGUGCCCAGAUGGGAUUAGCUAGUAGGUGGGGUAACGGCUCACCAAGGCAACGAUCCCUAGCUGGGUUGAGAGGACGACCAGCCACACUGGGACUGUGACACGGCCCAGACUCCUCCGGGAGGCAGCAGUGGGGAAUAUUGGACAAUGGGGGCAAGCCUGAUGCAGCCAUCCCGCGUGUAUGAAGAAGGCCUUCGGGUUGUAAAGUACUUUCAGCGGAGAAGCGUUAUCCGCAGAAGAAGCACCGGCUAACUCCGUGCCAGCAGCCGCGGUAAUAC